rnacentral:rRNA from 1 species
UACGAAGGGAGCUAGCGUUGUUCGGAAUUACUGGGCGUAAAGGGCGCGUAGGCGGUUUUGUAAGUCAGAUGUGAAAGCCCCGGGCUUAACCUGGGAGGUGCAUUUGAAACUGCAAGGCUAGAGAUCGAGAGAGGAAAGUGGAAUUACGAGUGUAGAGGUGAAAUUCGUAGAUAUUCGUAAGAACACCAGUGGCGAAGGCGACUUUCUGGCUCGAUACUGACGCUAAAGGCGCGAAAGCGUGGGGAGCAAACAGG